GUUUGAACCCUACAAAACAUGUACAUGUAUAAGUGUAAACAAUUAAGUCCAGUAAUCGGGCGUAGUUUUGCUAAAACAUGCCGUCACAUAAAUGUCAUUGAACGUCGAUUAGAGUAUCAAAAUAUUGGACGUCGAUUUGAGAAUGUGACGUCAGAUUUGGACGUUGAUUUGUGAAACGGUCGUCGAUUUGAAGAACGGACGUCGUUUAGAGGCCGGACGUCAAUCUGAGUCUAACAUAUAUAUAUAA
rnacentral:lncRNA from 1 species